rnacentral:rRNA from 1 species
GAUGAACGCUGGCGGCGUGCCUAAUACAUGCAAGUCGAGCGAACGGACGAGAAGCUUGCUUCUCUGAUGUUAGCGGCGGACGGGUGUGUAACACGUGGAUAACCUACCUAUAAGUCUGGGAUCACUUCGGGAAACCGGAGCUAAUACCGUAUAAUCUUUUGCACCGCAUGGUUCAUAAGUAAAAGACGGUCUUGCUGUCACUUAUAGAUGGAUCCGCGCUGCAUUAGCUAGUUGUUACGGUAACGGCUUACCAAGGCAACGAUGCAUAGCCGACCUGAGAGAGUGAUAGGCGACAUGGGAGCUGAGACAGCGUCAAGACGACUAAGGGAGGCAGCAGAAGGGAAUCGUACGCAAUGGGCGAAAGCAUGACGGAGCAACGCCGCGUGAGAGAUGGAGGUGUUGGGAGCGUAAAAAUCUGUUAUGAGGGAAGAACAGAUGUGUAAGGAAAUGUGCACAGAGUGACGGUACCGAAUCAGAAAGCCACGGCUAACUACGUG